rnacentral:rRNA from 1 species
GUAGGUGGCAAGCGUUGUCCGGGAAUUAUUGGGGCGUAAAGCGCGCGCAGGUGGUUCUUUAAGUCUGAUGUGAAAGCCCCCCGGGCUCAACCGGGGGAGGGGUCAUUGGAAACUGGGGAACUUGAGUGCAGGAGAGGAAAGUGGAAUUCCACGUGUAGCGGUGAAAUGCGCAGAUAUGUGGAGGAACACCAGUGGCGAAGGCGACUUUCUGGCCUGUAACUGACACUGAGGCGCGAAAGCGUGGGGAGCAAACAGGAUUAGAUACCCUGGUAGUCCACGCCGUAAACGAUGAGUGCUAAGUGUUGGGGGGUUUCCGCCCCUCAGUGCUGCAGCUAACGCAUUAAGCACUCCGCCUGGGGAGUACGGUCGCAAAGACUGA